UGUGUCACGUGGGGGACAAAGGUUAACAUCAGGGUAUCUCCCUCACUUCUGUACACUACCUUCCUUUCUUUUUUGAGACAGGGUCUCUCCCUGAGCCCUGCCAUUGAAUCGACGACGCAUGCUGCCACCCUUGACUUUCUACUCCGAUCCUCACUCUUGCACGGCAAGCACUUCACUUACUGAGAGCAUCUCCCCAGCUGCUGCCCUCCCAUUAGACUCCCCGACCUUCUUGCUUGCCAGUCUCUUCCAAACCAGAGGGAAACAGUCACUUCCCACUACCCUCGGGGUUAACAGCUUUGAGACCAAAAAGAAAAGCUGACAGUAUCCUAGGAACUAAUUAGGUGGCCUUCAGGUACUCCCAAGGAGGAAGAAAUGACACCUGGUGUCAGAAAAGGAAGAAAAAAAACACACUGAAGGCAAACAAGGGCGUGGGGGGUGGGGAGGAAUAAAAACCCGAGAUAAAAAGUCAAGAGCAAACAGCGGCGGCGCCUGAGAAACACGAACUGCGGCCGCCAACUUUUACGGCAUCCAGCCCUGUUAUUCAUAAGCGAGUUUCCUCUCACAAAGAACCUUUUGCACGGUUUUCGCUGCUGCCUCCAAACCAGCUGCUCGCGCUGUUGUAUCCUGAGUGAUGAUGAGGUUCUGAAAGGGCUUUUUGGGAACAGAUGGCCAGGGGAGAGCUGGGGAAUGUGCCAGCGGAGGGCCGGGCGGGCUGCCAAGGCCUGCGGUGACUGAGUUCUUGGGCUUCCAACUCGCGUGCUUUCCCUGCCCUCUGCCCUCCGUGGCGCCAGCAGGCCUUCCCAGCGAGCGCUCGGAACAUCUGGAGUCUGGGGUUGCCAGGAGGGGGGGCGGGCGGCCUGGAGGGGGGGACCCGCUGUUCCUGCGGAGCUCCCAUAGACUCGCAGCCAGGCCCGCCUCUCGCAGCUGCUAAUCAAAACCACAGCACCGAAUGGGAACCAGGCGGCGCUCCCAGCUGCAGCCGGAGGCCGCCAGGCGACUUAACCCGGUGUCAGGCCUCACUGGCGGCGCAGCCCUGGGGGUGCUCGGAGCUGAUGACACCCCCGCCCCCGAAUCCCGGCCCACCCCACUCCUCGCCACCACCAGCGGGCUAUUGGCUCCCUGCAGCUAAAUGGAACCUCCACGUGCUGCAGAUGCCUAUUUACAUAAGGGCUCCAAAACAGGAAAGGUAUGGCGUUCUUGCCUUAUGGUGAAGAGACCUCGGGAUCAGAGGCACCAAGAAAGAAGUACCGCUGCCAGGACUUAAAACCUAGUCUAGCCCCCAAGUCCUACAUUUUGUUUACUUCAGAGCUAAACACAAACAUGCCAGAGAUGGCUGCGCUCUUGAGAGGUGUAGGGCUCCGGGGAUUCCGCCCAACUCUACACAGACAUCUUUCUGCAGCAUCCAUGUCCUAAGCAUGGCGGGUUCCUAGAGCACAGACCGCUUUCAUGUCCGCGCAUGCGCAUUGCUUCUCUCUCGCUACCAUUGAGGCUCCUGAGUCUUCCUUCAUAUCCAGCACUGCAGGGUGAAAGGCAAGAGUUGUGAUCCACGGGGCUGGGACCGCGGCACCUCAGCCUCGACCUCACCUCAGACCACCCAGGGAACAUCAUAGGCCCUUGCAAGGAAAGCCGGCCCAGCUCACCUGGGAGGCCCCCCAAGCUAAUGAUCCCACCAACCCAGGCCCUGCCAGACUUGUGGCCUAACAGUGUCAAAUGUGAGAGAAGAAACGGCAGCUGAAAGAACGCUCCGUGUUGGAACAGCUGGCGACAAACAUCUAUGUAAUUGGAAUGCCAGAAAAAAUAAAUUGCAUCCAUUUUUAUGACUGGA